ensembl:lncRNA
GUGAGGUAUGAGGAUUAGCUAACACCACAUCGUUGGAGUGGGGAGGAAAGAUAGUUCUCUAGGAAAGAUAGAGUUUUAUUUUAAGAAGAAAGCAAGCUUGACAAGCCUAACAGUGCGUAUUCACCCUAUCAUCUGCUAUAAAAGUUCCUGGAUAAGGAUCUCCACGUGAAACAAUUGGAAAUUGAGAGUGAAGCCAUCUGAUGGUAACCAUGUCAGGUCAUACUUUGCCGCCUCCAGGACAUCUUCUGUUGAUUCUUCCACGCUGGGAUAGAUUUCCUCUCGAAAAAGCUGAGUUGGAUAUAGUGUAUAUAGGGUUAUGCCGAUAUUUUUCAUGAAAUUAAUUUACAUUCACAUGCUGCAUAACGAUGUUUUCGUCAAUGACGAGCUGUGUAUAUGACCGUGGUUCCAUAAGAUUAGUACCAUAUAACCUAGGUGUGGAGUAGGCUAUACCGUCUAGGUUUGUUUUUCAGGAGGGAUAGGUGAGUUGUAUACUUGCUGAGGAAGCUUUGCACGUGAAGAAGUCCUUUGCAGUGGGAGAGCAACUUGGCUGGACACAGAAUUCUUGGCUCUUAUCAUUAUCCUCAUUUUGAAGAUGGUAUAACUGAAGUGCAGAGAGCUUAAGUGACUUGUCAAAGGUGAAACAACUGUGACCAGCACAGUGCCUGAUACAGAGUAAACAUGGAAAGAGAAGAACCUGGAAGAAAAUUCCUCAUUGCCCUAGAGGUGAACCUGAACUUCCUUGCUCCCUGUCGUGGGUAUCCAGAGAACUUUGUUUUCCUGCUCUUGUCAACCUCAUGUUUAACCCUGCUGGUUUUCAUUUACUUUAUAAUUCAAUCAUAAUGAAUUUUAAAAUCCAUUCUAACUUCCAAGGAUCUCUAGAGACUUGCUUCAUCAGUCUGACAUCACGUUCAUUUACAUUUCUUAUUUUUUCGUUUCCUUGUAAGAGGUCUAAGCACUGUUCCAAUAAAACACUUUUAAGAUUGCAUUACACAUACUGUGUGCUAUUUAUUCCUGGCUACAUGUUCAAACUAACAAGCAAGAAAUUGCCUAUGCCCUGAUCAACUGUUAUAAACUGUAAUGCUAUAUCUGUUAUAAUUGAAAAAAAAAUUGGACCUGGACUAUUCUUUUGUAACCAUCUAAGCUAAUAGUUUACAUGGAAAAUAUUUAUACAAAAAUUGUAGCCAAUUCAAGUUCAAGGAGAUGUUACAGGCCAUUCAGCUUGAUCAUUCUCUCAAGAUGGUAAGUUCUUAGGUAUUUCCCAUGAUAAAUAAUCGUCUGUCUUUUGCCUGGCGUGUUCCAGGCAAAGAGAACACAUUAAUUCUAAAGUCAUCUUCUUCCUUUGGUGGGCAGUUCUUUUUGAUGGGAAAUUAUUUCUCAUAUUGAAUAUAACCCACUGCUCUCAAAAACAACAUAGGUUGGAGCUGAUCACCAUCUUCCGUGAUAGCCUUCAAAUAUUUGGAGACAGGUAUUUUGUUUCCUAAUAUGUUAUAAAUCGACAGAUUGUACUGGUGGAGCUCAGUACGUGGAAGGUACAUAAAUAUAAUUUAAUUCUAUUGUUUUACAGAUAAGUAAAAUAAACAGGAGGAGACGUUGAGUAACAUGCCCAACAUCACACAUUUGUUCAUUCAAUCAUUGUGUACUCAGACACCAACUUAAUAAAUUUACAGUUUUAUUAUCUAUUAUAUACAAUUUUAUAAUUUAGUAUAACAUACAAAAUUUUGCAAUUUACUAUAACAAAUAAGUUAUGAAGAAAUUUAUAAUUUAUUACAUAAAUAACAUUGAAGACCUCACUGAAUUACAGUCACUCCGUUCUCCUCCUUCCCUACCCAGAGACUACCACUAACCUCUAUUGGUUGUUUAACAUUCAAACAUAUUGUAUCAGUUAGUGUUCCAGCAGAGAAACAGAAACACUAUGAGUGAUAUGGAAUUGGGGAUUUAUGAUAGGGAUUUGAUUUUACAUGGUUGUAGAUGCUGUCGAAGAAGUGGAAGCUUAUUGCCUCUGCAUCUGGGCCUGAAGUCUUGUAGGUUAGUAGGUCUGACAGUCAAGAACACGAGCCAGACAUGAAGUGGGGCAGAACAAGGACAAACCAGAACAUAAGUUAGUCCCUCACUGCCUCCAGGCUUGGUGAUCCUGGUGAAAUAGAAGGAGCUGCUGCCCUUUGCCGUGGAGCCACACACACACCCGGCAUUGGACUCAGAGUAAGUGAAGGAGGGUAGCAGGCUUGGAGGAGCUGCAGGCCUGGCUGGUGCUCCAUGCCAACAAGGUGAGCAACAGUCAGAUACAAUAUGUGCAAUCUGUAGUGGCUCCUGGUAACUACAGAAUUCAUACUGACCUUCAGAGCAAAAUGGCUGCCCCACUGAGCACCAUCAAUUCUCUAAAUGCUGUGUAGUUAUCUAGGGGCCAGCAUUUAACCUCUGCAGGUCGUCCAAAGCUGGAGCUCAUCAGCAGAGACGACCUGCAGAUCUCUUCCUUCACCCUAUUUACUCCCAAAUAUUUCUCUGUGUGGCUCAGUUUUAUAUUUUCUGCAGGACUACUGGGUUGGAUUAAAAAUGGCAACCUCUGAAACAUUUUCUCCUUUAAUCAUUUGUCAGUGGAGAGUGGGUGGUGAAAAAUGAGAAUCAAUGCAGUGCCUACAUUGUCCUGAGGGUGAACUGAGAUGAUUAUGAUGUACUUAGUUCAGUGAGAGGCAUACAGUAAGUGCUCAAUAAAUAGUGGUCAAUAUAAAUGUUAAUAUUAUUAUUGCACUUAAAAUUUCUUCUGCUUCUACUUGUGUGUCUCAUUAUUCAACUAUACAUUUCUUGAAUUUAGGAUCUGUGGCCGAUUCAGUCCUAUAUCCUCAGAAGCCUAGCUUAGAGCCUGACCUAUUUAGAGAUUCAAUACCUGGAGAUUGUAUUGAAAAUGACUUCAUAAGACUCUUUCCUGGGAUCAAUUUUUAGAAGGAGGAGAGAGAUGUAUGAAGAUACUGGGCACAUAAGAAUGAAGGGGGCACUGGGGAAAGAAAUACUCAAAUGUCAAUCAUACUGUUUGCAUGAAUUUUGUGAUGUUAGAUCUCAAGAUGUACUUGACUUAUUCUGUAGAUGGUGUUGGUACCAUUGGCUAAUGCUUUAGACGAAAUAGAGUUAUAUCCCUAUCUAACACCAUAUGGUAAAAGGAAUUCCAAGUGGAUUAAAUAUUUAAAUGGAAAAAUUAAAGCCAUCAAAGUUUGGAGGAAAAUGGGUAGGGAUGAGUAUGUGACCUUGGAGCAACGUUUCCUAAGCAUGUCACCAAAGAGGGAUUGCAUAAAAGAUUUAAUCUUGUAAAAAUAAGAACAAAAAUCUGUAUUUAAAGAUCUUGAUGAACUAAAGAGGAAAAGAACAAAUUGUAAUGACAUUUGCAAAAUAUAUGACUGUGUUAAUAUUCCUAACAUGUUAGAGACUCUAAUAAACCAGUAUGAAAAAUAUAAACAAAUCAAUAGAAAAAUGGACAAAGAGCAUGCACAGCCACUUCUAUAUACUGCAGGUGGAACCAUACCUGGUAGAUGGGUACCAUCUUUCUGGAAAGCAAAUUUGCAUCAAAAGCCUUGAAUAUGUAUUUAUAUUUUGCCCUAGGAAUUUCAAUUUAAGGAAUUUAUAAUACUGUAUCCAAAGAUUUAACUGUAAGAACAUUUAUCAAAGUGUCGUUUGUAAGCAGAAUUACAAUUCUAUUUCCCAAAUGACUAUAGUGGCCUUCCUGACAUUUGCAUUUUAGUUCUCUGGGUGUUGCCUAGGUCAGUGUGAAUCGUUACACGAUAGAUUUAUACAUCAGCAUCACAAGCUUGGUUAAUGUGCGUCUUCUCCUGAGAUCUAUUUGGGCAUAUGAAGGAAACAUGUUUCUGAGCCUAUAUGUUUGAGAAUUCAGAUGCUGGAAUUC